rnacentral:tRNA from 1 species
GGUUCAUUGGUGUAACGGCAGCAUGUCACCCUCUCAAGGUGAAGGCAGGGGUUCAACUCCCCUAUGAACUG